UAAUAUUCAUGAUUUUUUGCAACCAAUCAGAAAUAUGUUUACAUUUCACCGCGGAAUUUUCGUCAUUUAAAUAUGUUUACAAACAAAAAAGUUAUGACGCCCGAUACUCGCCGACGAUUUGCUUGAAAACUAUCGGUGCAUGACAGACCUGACAAAAAAAAAAUAUCAUGAAAUAAUAUUGAUGAUGACAAUAUUUGACAACACUUGGAUCAUUUGGACAAAUAUAAGAUGACAAACCAAUGCUGUUAAUGAAUAAUUCUUGUCAUAUAGUAGAAUACAUUACCAAACACAACAAGAACUGUCCCAAAAUUGUUAAUGGGGAUGCUGAGAUGUCUGCUUUAUAUUCAUUGAAAUCCCAAAUCAGCUAUGUUAAGAAAUGGAGUCGACUAAUUUCAAAGAAAAUGGCUAAAGAUGAAACUCCUUUAAAAACAAUCUGGAAAAGGGGAGAAGCAGAUCCUUCUAUAGCAUUUAAAAAGUAUAUGAUACCAACUGGCAUUUAUCUGCAAAAUAUAUGAUAACAGUAUACAUUACCAAUCAUUGCAAGAACUGCCCCAAAAUUGUAAUGUGGAAGUAUGUUUAAUUGCCGAGAUUUAUGCUUAUUCAUUGAAAUCCGAUGAAAUGAAGUCAACUAAUUUCAAAGAAAAUGGUUAAAGAUGAAGAAGACUCCUUUUAAAACAAAUCUGGGAAAUGGGAGAAGCAGAUCCUUAUAAAUAACAUUAAUUAAUUUAAACAAUUAUGUCCUACCGACUGGCAUUUAUCGGCAGAAUAAAUCAUAUCGAUAUUAUAGAGCUCUUGACAAAGACAACUGAUAUCCAGCCUCCAGGUGCAUCAAUUUAUGUUAGCAAUGAAAAACAUUCUUAAUUUUGAUCUCAAUUAAUAGCAAAUCAAAUCAAUUUCAUUUCUUUUGGUCUAGUGAGGAAUUUCGGGCUGUUUGACUUAUGUUCAAUUUAGAAUAUACUGCUAUAAUUCGAGACUGCGGGAGUUCUGGAAGAAGAGAGUUAUUUACUAACUGCAAAAGAAGUGAAUAAUUAUUUUUUGAGAAAAAAAAAGAUAAAAGCAUGACAUUGCAGAUGCUGUAGAGCAAUUUGAUAUUCAUUCAUGUUGGAUUUCAUUAUACAGUGCUGCUGUAGUUUCUUGUUACUUUAUAUAUGUCGAUAAAUGAAAAAUGAAUAAAUUUUUUCAAAAAAUU